rnacentral:lncRNA from 1 species
UGGCCUCAGCGAAGAUGGGCCGGGCAGGGACCAUGGCGGUGGCAGCAGAGGUGGCAGGGGCGGGGCGGCUGGCGGUAGAGGAGGCUGUGGUCCUCAGGGGGCUGUAGGUGGAGGUAUGGCUCGGGCCAGCAGCGGGAACGGCAGCGAGGAGGCCUGGGGGGCACUUCGGGCGCCGCAACAGCAGACUGAUUCUUGCUAUUCCAAAUCCUCUUCCACGUUGACAGCCCUUCAGAUAUUUCAACACUCCUCUCAGCAUCCUCCACUUCCCCCAUCUCUCCAAGCUGAACUUGGUUCACAGGGUGGGAUUGUCUUCGAGAGCUGUGCCCAGGAGUGAACAACCAGCCCUACCUCUGUGAGAGUGGUCACUGCUGCGGGGAGACUGGCUGCUGCACCUACUACUAUGAGCUCUGGUGGUUCUGGCUGCUCUGGACUGUCCUCAUCCUCUUUAGCUGCUGUUGCGCCUUCCGCCACCGACGAGCUAAACUCAGGCUGCAACAACAGCAGCGGCAGCGUGAAAUCA